AUGUUCUCUCCUGCCUCUUUUUUAUUUCAUGGCCUUGCCUUCUUGGGACUGUUCCUUUCUCAGAACUGCAUAGAAGAGAAAGGAAUAGCCCUUGGUCUCUUGACAUUAGAGCUCCAAGCCUUGGAGACCGUCCUCGACAACCUGAUUAAUGUUGUCCCUCCCACACCUGCCACCUGUGUUCUGUCCCAGAGAACUUAUGUUCUGGUUAGUAAACAAGAAUCUGUUAUGUUGGUCUUACUUUCUUCAUUGCCCUUUUUGUCCUCAGAAAUCACCUUAUUUGUAGAUUUGUUUACUCACCAGAAUGCAAGCACUGUAAGAAGAAGUAUCUUGUCCAUCUUAUUUGCUCCAGUGUCUGCAGUGUUUGUUAUAGUCCCUGAGGUGAGAUGCUGAAUGUGUCUUUGUGCCUGUAUUCCUAGGUUAGUGCUAGGAUGAAUGAAUAACAGCAGUGAUAGAGGUUGGCUAAGGAUUUUGUGUGCCACGUAGUAGGCUAUGAGCUUUAUUCAAAUAGGUAUCCAUGUGUAUAUGUGUGAAAAAGACAAUUCUUUCAACUCUGAGUAAGAAGUACUGUUUUCACUUGACAGCAGAAAGAACAGACUCAUUCAAAGAUUUGUCUCUCUUCUAGUGUUAACACAGCUACAAAGCAGCUGAGCCAGAACUUACACCCAGGCCGUUUGACAGCUCCAGUAUUGAGAGUCAAGACCUGCAACGUCCCAACCCUGCCUCUCGUUUUACUCUCUGGAUUAAAGCGCCAUAAUUUGCCUGUUUUCCUUAAACUUUAAUUCCAGACUCAUAUUUGAUUUCCUUUCACCUGCGUGUAGUUAUUCAUCUAUUCCUGUUAUUUCUACCUUUGUAAUGUCUCUUAUUCCCAUUACCCCUUUGUCCCACUGUCUGCUUCACCAAUUAUAUUGGUCAUCCUCUUUCUUUCCCCAGUGUGAGCUCCAUAUGGCAAAGGAGUGUAUCUUUCUUUAAACCUAAGCACCUAAAAAAAAAAAAAAAAAAUUAAACCUAAGCACCUGACACAUAGUAGAAUGUCAGGGAAUGUGUUCCCAGCUAGAAUGUAGCUGCUCAAGCGCGGUCCUUGCCUGCCCUGAUCACCACUGUGUCCCAACAGAUCCAGCAUGGUCCUUAGCACAUAACUGACGAAGCGAACGCAUGGCAGAAGAAAACCAUUCUGCUCCAUUGCUGGCAUCAAAGAACCCAGGAUCCAAGUAUCAGCAGGCUGAGUUCACUUCAGUCCCAGUUUCCUAUUUAAAUAUGUAUUGGGUACCUAUGUUGUGCGCGGAGCAGACUAAAAUCCCAGCCAUUGCAUUCUCGCGGACACAGGAAGAUAGUAAAAAAGAAAAACAGUAGGUUAGGUGAUAAAUUUCAUGGGAAAAAUGAAGCAGGGAAGAUGCUUUGGGAGGGCUAGAAGAGGGGUUUGCAGUAGUAAGAAGGAUAAUUAGGGAUGAAUUCAGGGAAAAGGUGAUGAUAUCACUGGAAAGGUGGUGAGUAAGGACCCAAAGAAAGUGAAGGGUCUGUGAUACUGGGGAAAGGGAACAUCAGUGAAGGCCCUGAGGCAGGCACAGUCCUGGAGCGUCCAGAGGAGCUGAUUUUAAAUGGCAUUGGUCUGAAGGACAAUGUUAGAGAUCUGACCCCUGCUCUUUGUCCUCCACCUUGGAGGUUAGUAGGUGGCCCAGUGUUCCACGUUUGCUUCAGACAGCAGUCCCUUGUGCAGGGCAGUGCACAAACUGGGAGACGGGGAGGUGCUUGCCAUAGUGGACUACGUAGAGGUCUGAGGGCAAAGUGGAGAUGUGAGUUCAGGAAAUAUCUUAUAGUGGGCACCCCAAAGGUAUGUAUCUCUCUGAACCUGCCCUGUGGCUUGGGUCUCAGGAGAAAGCAGAUCAGGCAAAGAAGGGAAAGGAGGGAACUCACCAUCAGUGUAUUUAUAUUACCUACUGACUGGCUCCGAGCUGGUUCCAAGAGUUCUGUUUGUCUCUGUGCUUCACAUCCCAUUGAUAGAAUUUGUAAAAUGUGUCCCAUGUGCCAGGCCCAUGCAAAAUGGAGAACAUGAAUAAAGAGAAGGGCCCAUUCCCUUGAUGAUUUAGAGAUAUCUCUCUCUCUCUGUUUUUAAAGACUCAUUUAUUUCAAAGGGAGAGAGGGUGAGAGCGCAUGAGUGCAAACAAGGGGUGAGAGGCAGAGGCAGAGAGAAUCCUGAAGCAGACUCCCUGCUGAGUGCAGAGCCUAACACAGGGCUUGAUCCCAAGACUCUGACUGAGAUCAUGACUGGAGUUGAAAUCAAGAGUUGGCUGCUUAAUCAUCUGAAUCACCCAGGCACCCUGAUGAUUUAUUUAUUUAAAAAAAAUUUUUUUUUACGAUUUUAUUUAUUUAUUCAUGAGAGACACAGAGAGAGACACACAGAAAGGCAGAGACACAGGCAGAAGAAGAAGCAGGCUCCAUACGGGGAGCCCGAUGCAGGACUCGAUCCUGGGCCUCCAGGAUCACGCCCCAGGCCGAAGGCAAGUGCUGAACUACUGAGCACCCAGGGAUCCCCCACCCCGAUGAUUUAGAGAUCUUAACAGGGCAGCUGUGUUAAAGGUUGCAAGCCAGUAACCUAAAGUGGUUCAGGGUCUCAGAGUGACUAAUUCAACUUGGUGGUGGCAGGAGAAGGAUUCACUUAGAAAAGGAGUUCUUGAACUCCAGUCCAUGGGCAUAAUGCAGGGGUGUUCAUGAACUUGAGAGGGAAAUAUACACAAGUUGAGUGAAAAUUAGCAUUUCUUUUAAUUAUGAAGGCAGGUGACAAACUAUAAAAGUAUCAUCAGAACCCAUGGCUCUGUUAUCCAUGUAAAUCAUAGAUAUUUUUAUAUUAUAGUUGAUACAGAUGUUUUAAAAUAUUACUUGCUCAUUACUAUUUUGAAAAUACAGUAGUUAAUAAAUUCUUAAUAUUUAAUGUGUAAAAAAACACAUCCCUGGUGUUUUAUUAUUUUUUUAAUGUUGUAUUCCAGUGUAAUUAGGCUUUAAAAUAAUCCUGUGUUUUGUUUUGUUUUUUUUUUUAAGAUUUUAUUUAUUCAUGAGAGACACAGAGUGAGAGAGAGGCAGAGACACAGGCAGAGGGAGAAGCAGGCUCCAUGCAGGGAGCCCGAUGCAGGACUUGAUCCCAGGACUCCAGGAUCACGUCCUGGGCCAGAGGUGGUGCUAAACCGCUGAGCCACCCAGGGAUCCCCUGUUUGUUUUUUAAUGCACUUACAAUGUUACUCUGAGUAAGUCUGUGAGUAUCAUGCCAAAGGAGGCUAUGGAACAGAAAAGAUUACAAACCCUGAGUUAGAAGGCCAUUGCUAACCUGUGUCUUAAUUUACAGAAUCUUUGAGGAC
rnacentral:lncRNA from 1 species